GAGUAGCUGGGACUAUAGGCACCCGCCACCACGCCCGGCUAAUUUUUUGUAUUCACAGUACAGACGGGGUUUCACCGUGUUAGCCAGGAUGGUUUCGAUCUCCUGACCUCGUGAUCCGCCCGCCUCUGCCUCCCAAAGUGCUGGGAUUACAGGCGUGAGCCACCGCGCCCGGUGGAAAGGACACUUUUUUACAGUAUGAGCACUGAAACAAAAAGGCAAAGCAAGGUCUGUUCACCUUCAGCUGAGAACGUGAGGAUUGGUUCAGGAGUACAUGCGCAGGUUUGUCAUAUAAGCAAAUUAUGUGGCACAGAAGUUUGGUGUAUGGAUUAUUUCAUCACCCAGGCCGUUUCUCAGCGUUGGAUGUGCAAGCAGUUUUGAGAGAUGAAGUCAUGACUUCAAGACAAAAAAACAGGUUUGCUUAUUUUGCUACAAACCAAUAAGUUCUUCAGCCAUGCUGCAAAUCCACUGUGUAUCCAGUUCCCAUCUGCGGCCCGCACAUCAUCCCCAUGGGACUUGAGAGCAAGAGGAUCCCACGCAAAUCAUGUUGCUUGCUAUGCUAACUGGUUCCUAAGAGAGCAGAAAAUCAGCUAUAUGAAACCACGGCUAAAGAGAUAAAUGGCCUCAGUACUCAAAUUUGUAUACCACGCUUAUCUGCAACUGCAGAUCACCUGAACGAUAGUGAAUCAACUGAUUGGGAAGAAUUCAUCUAAUGUAAACUAUGUGGUCAACGAUCUAAGGGAUUAUUUGUGAAGAAGAAAAUCUGGGUUCCAAUUUAUACUCUGUUCUAGCUGAUGGUAGAACCUAAGGAAUGGUCCAUUUCCCCUAGUAAAUUCUCUUGUAUCACUAUAGAUGCUUUCCGAAAAUGCUGAUCACAAUUUAAAAUUUUACCUCUUAAGUGUCUAUUUGAUUAGUGGCUGAAUCCCUCCUUCAGACUGAAGUCCAUGAGAACAGAAACUCUGUUAUUUUUUGGUCUGCAUUGUAUACACGGCAUUCAACACAGUACCAGCCACAAUGUGAAUGCUCACUUACCAAAUACAUGAUUGAAUGAA
rnacentral:lncRNA from 1 species